rnacentral:siRNA from 1 species
GAUGUUGUUUUGGUUUCAGGUAC